rnacentral:rRNA from 1 species
GACGAACGCUGGCGGCGUGCUUAACACAUGCAAGUCGAACGGAAAGGCCCUGCUUUUGUGGGGUGCUCGAGUGGCGAACGGGUGAGUAACACGUGAGUAACCUGCCCUUGACUUUGGGAUAACUUCAGGAAACUGGGGCUAAUACCGGAUAGGAGCUCCUGCUGCAUGGUGGGGGUUGGAAAGUUUCGGCGGUUGGGGAUGGACUCGCGGCUUAUCAGCUUGUUGGCGGGGUAGUGGCUUACCAAGGCUUUGACGGGUAGCCGGCCUGAGAGGGUGACCGGCCACAUGGGGACUGAGGUACGGCCCAGACGCCUACGGGAGGCAGCAGUGGGGAAUAUUGCAGAAUGGGCGGAAGCCUGAUGCAGCAACGCCGGGUGCGGGAUGACGGCCUUCGGGUUGUAAACCGCUUUCGCCUGUGACGAAGCGUGAGUGACGGUAAUGGGUAAAGAAGCACCGGCUAACUACGUG